rfam:Syntrophobotulus glycolicus DSM 8271, complete genome.
GGCUUACCCGUAAGCCUAAAAGAGCGGGACGGCAGGUGACGGCGACCACCUAAAACGCCUA